AUUGAACGCUGGCGGCAUGCUUUACACAUGCAAGUCGAACGGCAGCGCGGGCUUCGGCCUGGCGGCGAGUGGCGAACGGGUGAGUAAUGCAUCGGAACGUGCCCAGUAGUGGGGGAUAGCCCGGCGAAAGCCGGAUUAAUACCGCAUACGACCUGAGGGUGAAAGCGGGGGACCGAAGGGCCUCGCGCUAUUGGAGCGGCCGAUGUCGGAUUAGCUAGUUGGUGGGGUAAAGGCUUACCAAGGCGACAAUCCGUAGCUGGUCUGAGAGGACGACCAGCCACACUGGGACUGAGACACGGCCCAGACUCCUACGGGAGGCAGCAGUGGGGAAUUUUGGACAAUGGGGGCAACCCUGAUCCAGCCAUGCCGCGUGCGGGAAGAAGGCCUUCGGGUUGUAAACCGCUUUUGUUCGGGAAGAAAUCCUCUGGGCUAAUACCCCGGGGGGAUGACGGUACCGGAAGAAUAAGCACCGGCUAACUACGUG
rnacentral:rRNA from 1 species